CCAACAAAGGUCCAGCUGCUGUCCAGGCCAUGAGGUGGAGGGUAGAAGUCUGUCCAGGACAUGAGGUGGAGGGUAGAAGUCUGUCCAGGACAUGAGGUGGAGGGUAGAAGUCUGUCCAGGACAUGAGGUGGAGGGUAGAAGUCUGUCCAGGACAUGAGGUGGAGGGUAGAAGUCUGUCCAGGACAUGAGGUGGAGGGUAGAAGUCUGUCCAGGACAUGAGGUGGAGGGUAGAAGUCUGUCCAGGACAUGAGGUGGAGGGUAGAAGUCUGUCCAGGACAUGAGGUGGAGGGUAGAAGUCUGUCCAGGACAUGAGGUGGAGGGUAGAAGUCUGUCCAGGACAUGAGGUGGAGGGUAGAAGUCUGUCCAGGACAUGAGGUGGAGGGUAGAAGUCUGUCCAGGACAUGAGGUGGAGGGUAGAAGUCUGUCCAGGCCUGCUGGCAUCACUUCAUCCUUCACAUGUCCAGCUGCUU